ensembl:lncRNA LINC00237 long intergenic non-protein coding RNA 237
GUGGCGGUCGGGUUGGGCCACCCCAAGCCCCUUCUUUUCCCCAGCCCGCAGAGCCCGGCCUUGCCUAGUGCUCGGCGGGGUUCAGGCAGGUCCGGGGGAAGAGGGAGUGGAUGAAGCCUGCGAGAGCCGGAAGCUGCGGGGAGGCAGAGAGACGCCCGCAAAACUCUAGGCGCAGAGUCUCCGGGGUUUCCAGCCGGAUUCCUAGGGGAGGCGCGAAAACCCGAUCUAAACUGAGAAGAGACUGGGGCAGCAUGAAUGUGCUGGAAGAUUAGAGGCUGCUGAUGCUGAAGGAAGGAGAAACGAGGAGGAAGUGUCCCUGUGGACAAGUCAUCUCCCUUCAUUUAAGCCAGGCCAGUAGUCCGGGAGACAUUCUGAAUGAUGCAUUAUCCUAGGCACCAGAAAGUAUCUAACAUUCUCAUGGACAGCAGGGAAAAAUGAGCACAUGAGACAGGGGAAGAUUCCAGCACCUGUGAACAUGUUUGUGCAGGUUUCCAGUCAGUACAUGGAUAUCCCUCAAGCCUUUGAAUCCAGUCUCCUGUGUUGUGAUUGGACCGUUUGUCAUUAGGUUUCCAGUGGCAGAGUAAUGCUGUGGGAGAACUGGCUACGAUGGCCGCAGGAGGUGAAUUAAGUAUUGUUGUGUUUUUAGUAGAACCACUAAAGGAAGAUCUGCAGGCAAGUUGGAUGAGUAUAAGAGCCAAAGAUUGACAAGACUUCCUCAGAUGCUCCUACUGACCAGUGGGGGCACUUCUACAGCUCCCCGAAUAUGUUCUCCCUGCAACCCCCACCACUUUUUAAUUAAAUGGCCAGAACUGCCUUUUUGUAUCAAAA